rnacentral:rRNA from 1 species
UGGUCGGAUAAUUGAAAAUAUAACUUUCAGCAAUGGAUGUCUUAGGCUCCCACAACGAUGAAGAACGCAGCGAAAUGCGAUACGUCAUGCGAAUUGCAGAGUCCAGCGAGUCAUCAAAAUUUCGAACGCACCUGGCGCUUCC